UCUUAUGGAUGAGCAAAGAAAGUAGUUUAUUCAAAUGGUAUCUACUACUGAUGAAGAUCCUAUGAA
rnacentral:pre_miRNA from 1 species